GGAGUCGCCCCCUGCUGGUCACUACAGAGAAUGCAUUUUGAAUGGCUUCACGUGAGAGCAGCAGAAAAAUAGUUUACUGCUGUCUGGUUUGUAUUUUAAUCACUCAUUGUUUUGAUUGGUUACUGAUGGAUCAAUGUGUUUAAAUUGUCUCAUGUGCAUUGGAAUAAUAUUUAAGUAUUUGUAUUAAACGGAAAACCUCUCUCUGCAGCGUCAAUUCACUUGUUUUACACUGAAGUUGUAUGUUUUGCGUCAUUCGUUCAUUUUUUUUUUUUACUUGUAUUGUGUAACAUAUUGUAGCAUAUCUCCAUACGAUAUGUAACCACAGGUUUGAUUGUUAUGUGACGUGUGAUUGGUUGAGCAGAGGCGGAGGCGGAGCUUGCCGCCUUGGAGGAGCUUCGGCUGAGCAGAGCGAUGGCUUAUGUCUCCAUCGACCCCAGCAGUGUGGCUGUUUGAGUCUGGAGGAAGUUCGCUUGAAGCAGCAGCAGGAAAUGAUGGAAGCAAAGAAGAAACAGAAACCGGUGAGUUGUUGAGGCAAACGUGGAACGCUGAGUCAACUCUCCUCGUCUCUGGCAGCUGAACUCAAAGUGAUUUUAAACUGGAUUAUCUUCACUUAUCUAAAGACUAAAUGUCAAUAAAUAAUGUACAAAAGUGGCUCACAGAAAUGUAUACGUUUUGAUAACUGUUGUUCAGUGUGUGUUGUGUAAUAUAUUUUUUAAUAUAAAAUGUAUUUAUUAAUGGUUGUUCACUGCAAAUUACAAAUAUAUUGCGUUAAUGUAGAAAGAAACACAAAUGUACAAAUAAACCCUGAAUGAGGCCGUGGGUUACUUCCAAUCAAGUGGAAGUGGUCCCCACAUUUAACUUCAACUGGAAGCCACAUAUUAGACACAUAUAAGACACAUGUAAGACACGUCAAAAGCAGUCCGUCUCUCUAGAAGCAAUAAACUGUUAAAUUCAUGCUAAAGGUCUGACAUGUCUGCUUGAGUCUCAUUCAGCUGUUGACGAGGCUCAUGGGAAAUGUUGCAUAUAGCGCGAUUAAAUAACCCCCACUUGAUUUGUAAGAAAUCAAUUUACAGUCGUGGAGGAAUUUAGACAUUUUUACUUAAAUAAAAGUAUCUAUGACGCAAGAGAAAGUCACGUGUCCAGGAGAAAAAUGUAUCCAAAGCAUCAAAGUAAAAGUAAGAAAACGUUAUUAUCAAGCAUUCACUGUGCAGAUGUGGGCAGCAUUUUAAUAUUGCAGCUGGCUGCAGUAGUCUUUCUGUCAGUUUUACGGUAUUUUAUAGGUAUUGUCUUUGUAAUGUUGUUUAUCAUUUUAAUAAUAUUUCAUAAAUUAAAAAUAUUUAUUUUGUGAUCAGCUGGUAUUGUCUGUGUUUUGUCCUGGUAGAUAAAAGUAAAAAAACGUCAAGAAAAGAACAAGUAUUUCAGAUUUUUACUUAAAAACAACAGUUUGUUAAACUUGUUGAAACUGUGCAUUUCCACCCUCCCUAUAAAAUUGGUUGUCGUAACGUUCAGGAUUAAUUUACAGCGAAUUGAUGUAAGUGAAUGAAUUAAUUCUGUCGUUUCCUCGUCCACCAGCAGAGGGCGUGUUCUUCAUGUUCCACAGCCAGUGUAGUGCACAGGGUGGAACCACACAGCACGUUGUGUAAUUCGUGCUUGGAGAACAUUUGGUUCCCUCUAGGAAUAAACUAUGAUGACGAAAUAAACAAUAUCAUCGCCAGAAUAGAAAGGACACAAAAACCCUCGUGCAUUUUUGUGACGUCAUAAUGGGUGAUUGAGACAACCACAUGCGCAUGCGUGAGAUAUUGCAAUAAGUAUAUUUGAAGCAGCUGUGAUUGUUUUUCACGGCCAUGCCUGUAGUCCAACGGGGGCACCAUAG
ensembl:lncRNA